UACGUAGGGGGCGAGCGUUGUCCGAAGUUACUGGGCGUAAAGCGCGCGUAGGCGGGGGGUUAAGUGAGAGGUGAAAGGCUGGGGCUCAACCUCAUGCAGUGCCUCUCAUACUGGCCUUCUUGAGGGCGGUAGGGAGAAGUGGAAUGGCUGGUGUAGCGGUGAAAUGCGUAGAUAUCAGUCGGAACACCAGUGGCGAAGGCGGCUCACUGGUCCGGUACUGACGCUGAGGUGCGAAAGCGUGGGGAGCAAACAGG
rnacentral:rRNA from 1 species